rnacentral:sRNA from 1 species
GACCGCAUCGGCCUCUUCAAGCGCGGCACGCAACUCGCGCCGGUCGUAAGGCU